AGAGUUUGAUCCUGGCUCAGGACGAACGCUGGCGGCGUGCUUAACACAUGCAAGUCGAACGGUAAGGCCCCAGCUUGCUGGGGUACACGAGUGGCGAACGGGUGAGUAACACGUGGGUGACCUGCCCCGCACUUCGGGAUAAGCCUGGGAAACUGGGUCUAAUACCGGAUAGGACCGCACCGUGAGGGUGUGGUGGAAAGUUUUUCGGUGUGGGAUGGGCCCGCGGCCUAUCAGCUUGUUGGUGGGGUAAUGGCCUACCAAGGCGGCGACGGGUAGCCGGCCUGAGAGGGUGGACGGCCACAUUGGGACUGAGACACGGCCCAGACUCCUACGGGAGGCAGCAGUGGGGAAUAUUGCACAAUGGGCGGAAGCCUGAUGCAGCGACGCCGCGUGGGGGAUGACGGCCUUCGGGUUGUAAACUCCUUUCACCAUCGACGAAGGUUUUCUGACGGUAGAUGGAGAAGAAGCACCGGCUAACUACGUGCCAGCAGCCGCGGUAAUACGUAGGGUGCGAGCGUUGUCCGGAAUUACUGGGCGUAAAGAGCUCGUAGGUGGUUUGUCGCGUCGUCUGUGAAAUUCCGGGGCUUAACUCCGGGCGUGCAGGCGAUACGGGCAUAACUUGAAUACUGUAGGGGAAAAUGGAAUUCCUGGUGUAGCGGUGAAAUGCGCAAAUUUUAGGAAAAAAACCAGUAACGAAGGCCAAUUUACGGGCCUUUA
rnacentral:rRNA from 1 species